rnacentral:rRNA from 1 species
AUUGAACGCUGGCGGCAGGCUUAACACAUGCAAGUCGAGCGGGGUGAUGGUGCUUGCACUAUCACUUAGCGGCGGACGGGUGAGUAAUGCUUAGGAAUCUGCCUAUUAGUGGGGGACAACAUCUCGAAAGGGAUGCUAAUACCGCAUACGUCCUACGGGAGAAAGCAGGGGAUCACUUGUGACCUUGCGCUAAUAGAUGAGCCUAAGUCGGAUUAGCUAGUUGGUGGGGUAAAGGCCUACCAAGGCGACGAUCUGUAGCCGGUGUGAGAGGAUGAUCAGCCACACUGGGACUGCAGCACGGCCCAGACGCCUACGGGAGUGAGCUGUGGGGAAUAUUGGACAAUGGGGGGAACCCUGAUCGAGCCAUGCCGCGUGUGUGAAGAAGGCCUUAUGGUUGUAAAGCACUUUAAGCGAGGAGGAGGCUCUUUUGGUUAAUACCCAAGAUGAGUGGACGUUACUCGCAGAAUAAGCACCGGCUAACUCUGUGCCAGCCGCCGCCGUAAUAC